AUGCCAGCAGCCGCGGUAAAACGUAGGUCCCGAGCGUUGUUCGGAUUCACUGGGUGUAAAGGGCGCGUAGGCGGGGAUGCAAGUCAGAUGUGAAAUACCGGUGCUUAACACCGGGGCUGCAUCUGAAACUGUGUUUCUUGAGUGUCGGAGAGGGAAGCGGAAUUCCCAGUGUAGCGGUGAAAUGCGUAGAUAUUGGGAGGAACACCAGUGGCGAAGGCGGCUUUCUGGACGACAACUGACGCUGAGGCGCGAAAGCGUGGGGAGCAAACAGGAUUAGAUACCCUGGUAGUCCACGCCGUAAACGAUGGAUACUAGGUGUAGGAGGUAUCGACCCCUUCUGUGCCGGAGUUAACACAAUAAGUAUCCCACCUGGGGAGUACGGCCGCAAGGUUGAAACUUAAAGGAAUUGACGG
rnacentral:rRNA from 1 species